UACGUAGGGUGCGAGCGUUAAUCGGAAUUACUGGGCGUAAAGCGUGCGCAGGCGGUUUGUUAAGCCAGAUGUGAAAGCCCCGGGCUCAACCUGGGAACUGCGUUUGGUACUGGCAAGCUAGAGUACGGCAGAGGGGGGUGGAAUUCCACGUGUAGCAGUGAAAUGCGUAGAGAUCGGGAGGAACAUCUGUGGCGAAGGCGGCCAUCUGGACCAGCACUGACACUGAGGCACGAAAGCGUGGGGAGCAAACAGG
rnacentral:rRNA from 1 species